rnacentral:rRNA from 1 species
AACGAACGCUGGCGGCAUGCCUAACACAUGCAAGUCGAACGAGACCUUCGGGCCUAGUGGCGCACGGGUGCGUAACGCGGGGGAACCUGCCCUUAGGUUCGGAAUAACUCCCCGAAAGGGGUGCUAAUACCGGAUAAUGUCAUCGGGCCAAAGAUCUAUCGCGGUUGGAUGGGCGCGCGUUGGCUUAGCUAGUUGGUAGGGUAAAAGCCUACCAAGGCGAGGAUCCAGAGCUGGUCUGAGAGGAUGCUCCGCCACGCUGGGAAUGAGACACGGCCCAGUAUGGUACGGGACGGAGCGGAGGGGAAUAUUAGGCAAGGAGGGAAGGCCUAGUCACGCAAUGCCGGGGAAGUGAGGAAGGGCUUAGGGUUGUAAAGCUCUUUUACCCGAGAUGAUAGUGACAGUACCGGGUGAAUAAGCACCGGCUAACUCCGUG